UACCCAUGGCAAGUCGUACGAAGAAUUUAUAUUUUAAAUUUAAGUGGGCGGACGGGUGAGUCACACGUGAGAAUUUACCUUUAGGUUGGGGAUAACAACCGGAAACAGUUGCUAAUACCCGUAGUGGCCGUAACGGUUAAAGAUUAAAUUCGCCUAGAGAAAAGCUUGCGUCUGAUUAGCUAGUUGGUAAGGGUAAAGGCCUACCAAGGCGACGAUCAGUAGCUGGUUUGAGAGGACGACCAGUCACACUGGAACUGAGACACGGUCCAGACUCCUACGGGAGGCAGCAGUGGGGAAUUUUCCGCAAUGGGCGAAAGCCUGACAGAGCAAUACCGCGUGAGGGAAGAAAGCCCACAGGGUUGUAAACCUCUUUUGUCAAGGAAGAAGUUCUGACGUUACUUGACGAAUAAGCAUCGGCUAACUCCGUGCCAGCAGCCGCGGUAAGACGGGGGAUGCAAGUGUUAUCCGGAAUCACUGGGCGUAAAGCGUUUGUAGGUGGUUUAGUAAGUCUAUUAUUAAAGCUUGAAGCUUAACUUCAAAAAUGUAAUAGAAACUAUUAGACUUGAGGAUAGUAGGGGUAAAGGGAAUUUCCAGUGGAGCGGUGAAAUGCGUAGAGAUUGGAAGGACCACCGAUGGCGAAGGCACUUUACUGGGCUAUUUCUGACACUAAGAGACGAAAGCUAGGGUAGCGAAUGGGAUUAGAUACCCCAGUAG
rnacentral:rRNA from 1 species